AUUCGGUUUUUCUCACUUAGAGGUUGAAUCACAAUUUAUCAUAUGUUUAUUUUUGCAUAAGUGUGCAUGUGUAGUAGUAUAAGGCUGUUAAAGGGAAUAUAAUUUGUCAGUUUUUAUACAUAGCAAACCCUAAGUGUGAUUUCUUGGAAAAGCAGAAGUCCAAUAAUGGACUAUACACGUUCCUCUUUUAUCAUUACUCAUAUCUUAGCCUAAAUUACUCUUGUUGUUUCUGUGCUAAAAGUAAUGCUGCUAAUAUCUAGUUCUGGCCAACUUUUGCUGAGCUGUUUGCAAUAAUUGUUGUAUACGCAUUUAUGUAAAGGUACAUUUUUUCUUGGGCCUUAAUUCACUUACCAUGUAGUUCUCUCCUGAAUCAUGUUUCUGUCCCAUUUAUAAAUGUUAGGCUAUGAUUUGAAUUGCCUUGUUAAGGAAGCAUUAUCUAUUGAAAUGUUGCUGGCAGCUAUCCUCUAACUUAAGGGUGCAGGAGACACGGUCUUCAUUGGAGUGGUUUGUGGGAAAAGUACAAGACAUGAUUAUCUAAAUACUUUGAGACGAUCUAUAGUGAAGGGUUCAAAUGAAUCAAGGCAAUGAGUCAAUGAGGGCAAAUGCUAUUGGCAGUUGUGUUGUGCUCAACCAUGGAGGAGGUUGCGCGGUAGACAAGAUGCUCAUGGAGUUUGCUUCACCGUCAAUAAUCCAUAUGAUACUUCUAUUUGUUGUUAUCCUCGUUAAUUCAUUUUUAAUUUUAUUAUUAUUUAUCUUUUUAAAAAUUGAUUUUACUAGAAUUCUGAUCAAUUUUGCUUUUCUAAUUUAAAUACUGUCUUUUAUGGUUUCUUUAUGCCUUGUAUAUUGGUGCACAGUAUGAUGCAUUUAACUUGAUAUACAUAAGAUGCACAAUAUGAUACAUUUAAUUUGAUAUUGCAUUACAGGUAGAAGACUUUAGGCAGCAGGGAACUAAGAUGAGAAGAAAGAUGUGGCUUCAGAAUAUGAAGAUAAAAUUGAUUGUUUUGGGUAUCCUUAUUGCCCUGAUUCUUAUCAUUGUGCUGUCAGUCUGCCACGGCUUCAAAUGUUAAUCUGUCUUGGAUUUCCCUCGUACCGCUCUUGCUGCCAGGGAUGUCUUGAUAGAUUGGUUUGUCUUACUUGUUUUUUUAGGGCAUAUAUUUCUCCCUUUGCUUGCGGUUUAGGAUAGGGGGAGGCUUUGUAUCUUGGUUGGCUGUAUAGGUUAUAGUUUGAACUUGUUACGGUAGAUAAAAAUUUCUAUGGAGGAUUUCUUCUUUAUACUGUGAUGGGGGUAUACUCGGAUUCCUGCAUAUCAUAUUUGUCCUUUUGAAAUGUUAUUAAUCUGUUUUUUUG